AAGUUACUUUCAAUGUUUUAAAAAUCUGUUUUAGUCUUUUGUGGCAGGCGAAAACCAAUCAAUCAGCAUAUUUCCGAGUGACCCAUUGUGUUCUCAGAGUUCUUUAAUAAGUCGAACCAAUUUCGAGACGGGUUCGAGAGUAAUUUAGAAAUGAGUGCGGAGAAACAAUCUGGUGACGAUGUGCCGAAGCUGCCCGGACCAUCAAUUGACGAUGACGAAAAUUGCUCGAUUUGUCUUAUGGACAAAAUUGAGCCGGUGACGAUGAAGUGCGGACACAGUUUUUGUUUUGAGUGCCUCAGCCGAGUUUUUCAGCAGCCUGUUUCCCGUUGGAGUAGCCCUCGGAAAUGCCCACUGUGCCGCAGCGCGAUCUCAAUGGACGAUGCUACCGUCAAGAUCUCCAAACCAAACUAAAGAACACGUAUACUGUAUAUGUACAUAUGUAUUGGCUUCCAAAAUAGAUGUGUAGUAUAUACGGUAUGCCCAUGGGCUACUCCCAAUUGUG
rnacentral:sRNA from 1 species